ensembl:lncRNA
UUUCUCUAUGCAUGUUUAUUUUUCUCUAUGCAUGUUUAUGUUUUCUCUAUGCAUGUUUAUAUUUUCUCUAUGCAUGUUUAUGUUUUCUCUAUGCAUGUUUAUAUUUUCUCUAUGCAUGUUUUCUCUAUGCAUGUUUGUUUUCUCUAUGCAUGUUUAUAUUUUCUCUAUGCAUGUUUAUAUUUUCUCUAUGCAUGUUUAUAUUUUCUCUAUGCAUGUUUGUUUUCUCUAUGCAUGUUUAUGUUUUCUCUAUGCAUGUUUAUGUUUUCUCUAUGCAUGUUUAUAUUUCUCUCUAUGUAUGUUUAUGUUUUCUCUAUGCAUGUUUAUGUUUUCUCUAUGCAUGUUUAUAUUUUCUCUAUGCAUGUUUAUGUUUUCUCUAUGCAUGUUUAUGUUUUCUCUAUGCAUGUUUAUAUUUUCUCUAUGCAUGUUUGUUUUCUCUAUGCAUGUUUAUAUUUUCUCUAUGCAUGUUUAUAUUUUCUCUAUGCAUGUUAAUUUUAUAUAUGCAUGUUUAUGGUUUCUCUAUACCUGUUUAUAUUUUCUCUAUGCAUGUUUGUUUUCUCUAUGCAUGUUUAUAUUUUCUCUAUGCAUGUUUAUAUUUUCUCGAUGCAUGUUUAUAUUUUCUCUAUGCAUGUUUAUGUUUUCUCUAUGCAUGUUUAUGUUUUCUCUAUGCAUGUU